GCGCGAAACCUUUUCAAUGCACGCAAGUGUGAGAAGGGAAUUCCAAGUGCUCAAGUUUUACUUGGGCUUUUGCCAAGUGUAAAAAGCUUGGCGAAUAAGGGGUGGGUAAGACUGGUGCCAGCCGCCGCGGUAACACCAGCGCCUCGAGUGGGGAUCGCGAUUAUUGGGUCUAAAGCGUCCGUAGCAGGCCUUGUAAAUGCUUUGUGAAAUUGUCUGGCUUAACCAGACAGCGUGCAGAGUAGACUGCAGGGCUCGAGACCGGGAGAGGUUAGCAGUAUUCCUAGGGUACCGGUAAAAUGGGUUAAUCCUAGGAGGAUUACCAAUGGCGAAGGCAGCUGACCAGAACGGUUCUGACUGUGAGGGACGAAAGCUAGGGGAGCAAAACGGAUUAGAUACCCAUGUAGUCCCUGAGCGGGCUGGCAAGGCGCAU
rnacentral:rRNA from 1 species